CCCCUCUCAGGAUUGCACCUGGAGAGCUUCCAGUACUCUACCAACCUUGGCUACGAGAGGGAGAGUCAAGCAGAGGCCUACCCAUUCCAUUCCUGACUUGAGCAAUGGCUAGCAAGUGGAAGGCAAUCUGCUACAAGU